GUGGGGAAUUUUGGUCAAUGGGGGCAACCCUGAACCAGCAACGCCGCGUGGGUGAUGAAGGCCUUCGGGUUGUAAAGCCCUGUCGGGAGGGACGAAUCCCCAGAGUAACGAACUGGGUUGACGGUACCUUCAAAGGAAGCACCGGCUAACUCUGUGCCAGCAGCCGCGGUAAUACAGAGGGUGCAAGCGUUGUUCGGAAUUACUGGGCGUAAAGCGCGUGUAGGCGGUUUGCUAAGUCUUGUGUGAAAGCCCUGGGCUCAACCCAGGAAGUGCGCAAGAUACUGGUGAACUGGAGUAACGGAGAGGAUGGCGGAAUACCCGGUGUAGAGGUGAAAUUCGUAGAUAUCGGGUGGAACACCUGUGGCGAAGGCGGCCAUCUGGACGUUCACUGACGCUGAGACGCGAAAGCAUGGGGAGCAAACAGGAUUAGAUACCCCGGUAGUCC
rnacentral:rRNA from 1 species